GUGAAUCAUCGAAUUUUUGAACGCAAAUUGCGCUUCCUAGCAUCCCGGGAAGUAUGCCUGUUUGAGGGACAGUAUUAACAAAAAAAUCGGUUUGGUUGCAAAUUGUGACGUUUCCGGAGUUUGGGCUAUCUUAACUUUUUUGUUUAAGGGGCUUAAAAUUGACCUUUUUUGCGCUUUUUUAGACGUACAUAAAUUUUUUUUUAUUCUUCUUUUCUUAAUGCCAAAAUCUUAUAUGUUGCGUUCACAUCG
rnacentral:misc_RNA from 1 species